AUAUAUAAUAUUUUAAAUAUUUUUUAUAAUAAAAUAUUAUAAAAAGAUAUCAUAGUAAAAUUUUAGAUAUUAUUAAAUAUUAAAAUUAUAAUGGCUAAUCAAAAAGUAUUAUAAUCAUAUAUAUCUAAUACAAGUGAAAAAAAUAGAAAAUAAAGAAAAAAAUUAAAAGAGUAUUACAAAAAAAAUAAAGUUAAAAGAGACAUACCUAAUUCAAUUUAAGAAGAGAAACAAGAAGAAUAUAUAGUUUUCUAUUACAUGUGGAUUGAUUAGGAUAUAAAAAAUAAAUUGAUGUAGGAUUUAAAUAUAAAAAGUGGGC
rnacentral:lncRNA from 1 species